rnacentral:rRNA from 1 species
UACGUAGGUGGCAAGCGUUGUCCGGAUUUACUGGGCGUAAAGAGCGCGCAGGCGGUCGUUCAAGUCGCGUGUGAAAUCCCCCGGCUCAACUGGGGAACUGCACAGGAAACUAGCGGGCUUGAGUUCGGGAGAGGGAAGCGGAAUUUCCGGUGUAGCGGUGAAAUGCGUAGAUAUCGGAAGGAACACCUGUGGCGAAAGCGGCUCACUGGACCAUAACUGACGCUGAGGCGCGAAAGCUAGGGGAGCAAACAGG